rnacentral:rRNA from 1 species
UACGUAGGCAGCAAGCGUUGUUCGGAGUUACUGGGCGUAAAGGGUGUGUAGGCGGUUGCUUAAGUUUGGUGUGAAAUCUCCCGGCUCAACUGGGAGGGUGCGCCGAAUACUGAGUGACUCGAGUGCGGGAGAGGAAAGUGGAAUUCCAGGUGUAGCGGUGAAAUGCGUAGAUAUCUGGAGGAACACCGGUGGUGUAGACGGCUUCUGGACCGUAACUGACGCUGAGACACGAAAGCGUGGGUAGCAAACAGG